rnacentral:rRNA from 1 species
GGCGAACGCUGGCGGCGUGCUUAACACAUGCAAGUUGAACGGAAAGGCCCUGCUUUUGUGGGGUGCUCGAGUGGCGAACGGGUGAGUAACACGUGAGUAACCUGCCCUUGACUUUGGGAUAACUUCAGGAAACUGGGGCUAAUACCGGAUAGGAGCUCCUGCUGCAUGGUGGGGGUUGGAAAGUUUCGGCGGUUGGGGAUGGACUCGCGGCUUAUCAGCUUGUUGGUGGGGUAGUGGCUUACCAAGGCUUUUACGGGUAGCCGGCCUGAGAGGGUGACCGGCCACAUUGGGACUGAGAUACGGCCCAGACUCCUACGGGAGGCAGCAGUGGGGAAUAUUGCACAAUGGGCGGAAGCCUGAUGCAGCAACGCCGCGUGCGGGAUGACGGCCUUCGGGUUGUAAACCGCUUUCGCCUGUGACGAAGCGUGAGUGACGGUAAUGGGUAAAGAAGCACCGGCUAACUACGUG